AGUCUUCAGGGCAAGGUGAGAUUCCUGACCGGCGGUAUAUAUCUCAGGAUAUGAGCCCGCGAGCCUUUUUAAGGCAUGAUCCAGUGAGAGUCUGGAGCCGACGGUAGAGUCCGGAUGGAAGAAG
rnacentral:ncRNA from 1 species